CAGCAGCAGGCAGCUUCUCCCAGACUUUCAGAGUGGAAGGUCUGUUUCCUGAGCAGCGCAGCGCAGGCUAGGGGGAGCUACCCACCAGGCUGCAGGCCCUGAGGGAAGGGCCUAACUGGUGCAAAGGGGCUAAAGGGGAAGCAGCCCAGGAAGAGAGGGGCACAAGGGGAGAGAAGGAGGGUGGGGAGGCUGCAACUAAAGGGCCCUUGGGUUGGGACCGGAGUAGUGGGUGGGCCUGGGUCCCCCCCACCUUGUACUACACUUGGCCAUGCAGUAUAGCUGAAACAAUCUGCAACUGGCCCUUGAGACAAGGGGCUAGACUUUGGAGGUUGUGGUUGGCCACUGAGGCCAGUGCAAGGACUGUUGCUAACAUCCCCCCCUCAGAAGGGGGUGGGGAUGGACUAAGGGGCACUGCUGAAGGGCAGCAUCCUGAAGAGGACACUGCUGAGCGGGGAGCAGCGCAGGUCCAAACACCAGCAAGGAAGAGAUGAUGGAUGGGACACGACUGGCAGAGGGUUCUCCCCAUGAACUGAGCUAAUUCCCAGAGGUAACCAGCGGGAGGCAUUGCAGUGUAUGGUGUAUCCAUUGAAUUCACCCUAUCAGAGAGCUGAGAAGUGUAUAUGCAGUCCAUGAUCGAUGACUUCUUGGAUCUUCUUCUGAUGCAUGUUUUCGGUCUGUUUGGAGGAGAAUGGGCUAAAUCCAGGAUACUAUUUUCUUUUUGGGUGAUGGUGGUAGGAGAUAACAGUUUGGAAGAAGGCGUGCAGUAUGCAUUACUAUCUUUCACUGUGUCAGACAAAACUAACUAGUCUAAAAAACGGUCAUUACCUGUGAUGCCCUGCCUGAACCGUUCCAUAAAGCCAGUGUACCCUUCUCCUGCAAGAACCAUUUUUCAUUCACCUGACUUAAAGUAUGUUGCCUAGCACAUUGUGAAUGCUCUUGGCAAAGAAAUAAU